rnacentral:rRNA from 1 species
GAUGAACGCUGGCGGUCUGCUUAACACAUGCAAGUCGAACGGAAUCCUUCGGGAUUUAGUGGCGGACGGGUGAGUAACGCGUGAGAAUCUGCCUUCAGGUUCGGGACAACAGCUGGAAACGGCUGCUAAUACCGGAUGUGCCGAGAGGUGAAAGCUUUAGUGCCUGAAGAUGAGCUCGCGUCUGGUUAGCUAGUAGGAGUGGUAAUGGCACCCCUAGGCGACGAUCAGUAGCUGGUCUGAGAGGGUGAUCAGCCACACUGGGACUGAGACACGGCCCAGACUCCUACGGGAGGCAGCAGUGGGGAAUUUUCCGCAAUGGGCGCAAGCCUGACGGAGCAAGACCGCGUGAGGGAAGAAGGUCUGUGGAUUGUAAACCUCUUUUGAUGGGGAAGAAGACAGUGACGGUACCCAUCGAAUCAGCCUCGGCUAACUCCGUGCCAGCAGCCGCCGUAA